CCCCCAGCCCCGUAGAUCCCUGCCCAUAGGGUCCCCUUGGCCCCCCCAGCCCCAUAGAUCCCUGCCCAUAGGGUCCCCCAGCCCCAUAGAUCCUUGUCCGUGGGGUGACCUGGGCUCCCCAGCCCCAUAGAUCCUUGUCCAUGGGGUCCCCCAGCCCCAUAGAUCCCUGCCCAUGGGGUGACCUGGGUCCCCUAGUCCCAUGGAUCCUUGCCCAUAGGGUCCCCUUGGUCCCCCCAGCCCCAUAGAUCCCUGCCCAUGGGGUGACCUGGGCUCCCCAGCCCCAUAGAUCCUUGUCCAUGGGGUACCCCAGCCCCAUAGGUCCUUGUCCAUGGGGUCCCCAAGCCCCAUAGGUCCUUGCCCAUGGGGUGACCUGGGCCCCCCAGCCCCAUAGAUCCUUGUCCAUGGGGUCCCCAAGCCCCAUAGAUCCUUGUCCAUGGGGUGACCUGGGCUCCCCAGCCCCAUAGAUCCUUGUCCAUGGGGGUCCCCAAGCCCCAUAGAUCCUUGUCCAUGGGGUGACCUGGGCUCCCCAGCCCCAUAGAUCCUUGUCCAUGGGGUCCCCUGGGCCCCCCAGCCCCAUAGAUCCCUGCCCAUGGAGUCCCCCAGCCCCAUAGAUCCCUGCCCAUGGGGUGCCCUGGGCCCCCAGCCCCAUAGGUCCUUGCCUGUGGGGUCCCCCAGCCCCAUAGAUCCUUGCCCAUAGAGUCCCCUGGGCCCCCUAGUCCCACAGAGCCUUGUCCAUGGGGUCCCCUGCACCUCCCAGCCCCAUAGAUCCUUGCCCGUGGGGUCCCCUGGGCCCCCCAGCCCCAUGGAUCCCUGUCCAUAGGGUCCCCCUGGGCCUCCCAGCCCCAUAGAUCCUUGUCCUUGGGGUCCCCAAGCCCCAUAGAUCCUUGUCCRUGGGGUGCCCUGGGCCMCCAAGCCCCACRGAUCCCUGCCCCUGGGGUCCCUGGUGCCCCCAGCCCCACGGAUCCCUGCCGCUGGGGUGCCCCUGCCCCACGGCGCCGCCCCCCCCCGCAGUGCUCCCGCUCGUGCCUGGGGGGGGUGCAGGCCCGCGAGGUGCACUGCCUGACCCCCAACAAGACCCUCAGCACCCUGUGCCCGCCCCACCUGCGCCCCCCCAGCCAGCAGCCCUGCAACAGCCAGCCCUGCGCCCCGGAGCUCGACGCCGGCUGCCAGGACGCGUCGCCCAGCUGCGCGGCGGUGGUGCGCGCCCGCCUGUGCGUCUACCCCUACUACGAGCGGCUGUGCUGCGCCGCCUGUGCCCGCCCCCCCGCCACCCCGGCCCCCCGGUAGCCGCCCGCCGCCUGUGUCACCACCGACCGGGAGGGUUUAAUUUAUUUUGUAUUAAAGGUGGUUGCGCGGUGCCGGCCGCUCUCG
rnacentral:lncRNA from 1 species